ACAAGAUGCGGCGUUCUCGGUUCCCCGGGUCUACAAGAUCUGGGGCUAAGAGGGAAUCCGGUGCGAGGAGGGACACCCUCGUCAAUGCCGGAGCUGUCCCCGCAACUGUAGGCGGAGAGCGGCCACGCAAGACAGGGCCACUGACGGGCGAUCGUCGGGAAGGCCGGCGUGGCGGCGGUGACCCGCGAGCCAGGAGACCUGCCGGAACCUUGGAAUGAUA
rnacentral:ncRNA from 2 species